AUGUCCAAAAUGGAAGGAUCUGUUUGAGAACUUCUCAGGAGGGGGACCUGGGCCAAGGGCUUGACAAACAUCUCACUGGCAAUUCCAAGGCCCUGGGUGGGCUUC
rfam:Otolemur garnettii contig046504, whole genome shotgun sequence.